GGGCCUCUAGCUCAAAUGGCAGAGCAGCGGACUUUUAAUCCGCGGGUUGUGGGUUCGAGUCCCACGGGGCCCA
rnacentral:tRNA from 1 species